UUGCACGCUGGCGGCAUGCUUUACACAUGCAAGUCGAACGGUAACAGGCCUUCGGGUGCUGACGAGUGGCGAACGGGUGAGUAAUGCAUCGGAACGUACCCAGAGGUGGGGGAUAACGCAGCGAAAGCUGUGCUAAUACCGCAUGUGAUCUGAGGAUGAAAGCGGGGGACCGAGCAGCAAUGUUUGGCCUCGCGCCUUUGGAGCGGCCGAUGUCGGAUUAGCUAGUUGGUGGGGUAAAGGCCUACCAAGGCGACGAUCCGUAGCUGGUCUGAGGGGACGACCAGCCACACUGGGACUGAGACACGGCCCAGACUCCUACGGGAGGCAGCAGUGGGGAAUUUUGGACAAUGGGCGCAAGCCUGAUCCAGCAAUGCCGCGUGCGGGAAGAAGGCCUUCGGGUUGUAAACCGCUUUUGGCAGGAACGAAACGGUGUCCGCUAAUACCGGGCGCUAAUGACGGUACCUGCAGAAUAAGCACCGGCUAACUACGUG
rnacentral:rRNA from 1 species